GCAACACAUCACAAACAAUUCACAUCAAGGAUGAACUUGUCACCAAUAGCCCACUACUGAAUCCAAUAGUGCCAGGGGCGUAGACUGGGCCUCGCUGGUCUUUCUCUUACAUUACAUUCAUAACAUAACAUUCCAAUAUGCCAGGGGCGUAGAAUGGGCCUCGCUGGUCUUUCUCUUACCAUGGUGCCAAGGGCGUAGAAUGGGCCUCACUGGUCUUCCGUACCGUAUCAUAUCAUAACGUAGUGCGGCUAAAGGAUCAUCCAACAUUCAUCCACAUCAUCAACAUAUUAUGCAAUGCAACAUAUUCGUGAAUUCUAAUGCAAACAACCUAGAA
rnacentral:lncRNA from 1 species